GGUGCGGAUGUACCCACGCCCUACGCUAAAACACUGGAAGAUAACACCUUCCCUCAGGUCUUUAACAUUGUGAACACUGUCAAGCAAUCUCUCAAGGUCCCCUAACACCGCCAAGACCUCUAGCAAAGAAACAGACAGUUAACACAAUGUGAUAGACAGUUUUGUUUUUGAUGGUUUUUAUACAUUACAUGUUUUGCAUUAGACAUAUUGUCAGAUUCUGUUAUUUUUUUUUUAAAACCUCAAUGAGGAAGACUGAUUUUAGAACAGCAAACUUUCAGGGUUUAAAUUAAGAAAGAUUUUUUUUUAUUCCUAUUACCUGGUUGGAUUCUAAAAUCAAAGGGAUGCACUGAAAUGCUUAAAAUGUCUGGAAAUACUCAGAAAUACAUUGCCCUAGGCUUAAUGUCAAAUAUGAAAGAAGCAAGUGUUCAGGUAAAUUUUAGCAACUCUGUUUACACAAAGUGAUGUUUAAAAAUCAUUUUUGAAGUAAUGAUUAUAGAAGAAAAAUUAUAUACAGGUAUGAAUUGAUUUAUUACAUGUAACUAAUAUUAUGACAUAUAUAUUUUUCAUGAUAUACUUAGUAGCUGACAGCCACACAAUGACGAUUUUUAUGGUAAAUUAAUGUACUACCUGUAACACUUGCAUGGGUGGUCAAGAUAGGUCUUACCUUUCACUUACCUUUUGUAAUCUCUUGAAUUUGUCUGAAUGAGCACAAGAACACUUGAAUGACACUGAAGCUUUUGCUUGAAUAUUCUAUAUUUAUUGAUUGCACUUGCUCACAAAGUCUAGAGGACUUGUGUUCAGUAACCAUGACAAAGGUCAAGGUAAAAAAAAUCUGAUAUAUCAUACAUCAAGCAAUUGCCUUAUUUGUGUCUGAGAGAGAAAGUUCUUGCUUUGAUUGCUCCUAUACAAUUCAAAUCGAUUGGUUCAUUCGAUCCCUUUUCUUAAGGUGGAGGGUCUGAUUCUCAAGUGGGAGUAGAUGUGUUGGAGAUUGGAGAUACUAGCAACUUACAGUCAUAAUACACCGGUUAUUCGUCACUUCAGGGUUCAAAUAUAUAUAGACGGUACUACUGCUUUUCCUCCACAAUUUUGUUUAUUAUUACAGUUCCUGUUGUAAUAUAUAAUUAAUCAUAUUAUCAACAUCAGUUUUAUUUCUCCUGAAGUGUUAAUGUACCUGUUGAAAUAUACACAUGUACAUGUAUCAGUAUUUUACUGGAUAAAUUAACAAUAAGUGUUACAUACUAAAAAAAUAAAUGGUUAAUAAAACUCUGUCCAUUGGUCGUUUAUAUCUGUUUAUUUAUCCCUGAUAAUUGUGGAAUUCACCUCCAUAAAAAUCGAACUUC
rnacentral:misc_RNA from 1 species